AUCUGAUUGAGAUUUUAUAACAAUGGCUUUAGUGGCGGACUGGUGAGUAACGCGUGAGCAACCUGCCUACUAGAGGGGAAUAACAGUGAGAAAUCAUUGCUAAUACCGCAUAUGCCAUGAACAUCACAUGAUGAAAAUGGGAAAAGAGUAAUCUGCUAGUAGAUGGGCUCGCGUCUGAUUAGAUAGUUGGCGGGGUAACGGCCUACCAAGUCGACGAUCAGUAGCCGGACUGAGAGGUUGAACGGCCACAUUGGGACUGAGAUACGGCCCAGACUCCUACGGGAGGCAGCAGUCGGGAAUAUUGCGCAAUGGAGGAAACUCUGACGCAGUGACGCCGCGUAUAGGAAGAAGGUUUUCGGAUUGUAAACUAUUGUCGUUAGGGAAGAUACAAGACAGUACCUAAGGAGGAAGCUCCGGCUAACUACGUGCCAGCAGCCGCGGUAAUACGUAGGGAGCAAGCGUUAUCCGGAUUUAUUGGGUGUAAAGGGUGCGUAGACGGGACAACAAGUUAGUUGUGAAAUCCCUCGGCUUAACUGAGGAACUGCAACUAAAACUAUUGUUCUUGAGUGUUGGAGAGGAAAGUGGAAUUCCUAGUGUAGCGGUGAAAUGCGUAGAUAUUAGGAGGAACACCGGUGGCGAA
rnacentral:rRNA from 1 species